GAGAAAUGAGCACAGCAUACGCUGUUAAAAGAUUAUAAAAAUGGUUCUACCCUUUUUCAUUCUGCUAAACGAUAGAAAAGUUGAUGCAUAAAUAACAGAGAUGGUUGUUUCACUUUUAUACAUGACGUAUCCGCGGGAUCAAAAUUUGGGAAGUCUGCCAUUUACAUGAUCGACAAUACUUACAAUUUGAUGCGUUGAUGCAUAAAGAAUAGGGAUGAUCGUUUGACUUUCAUGCAUGACGUACCCGCGGGAUCAAAAGUUGGGAAGUCUGCCAUUUCCAUGAUCGAAACGCCAAACAACCUUUUUCUAAUGGAAAGAUGAGUUUCACCAAUUUUCCAAUCGAGUC